GGGAAGCCCGCCGAGUGAAUGGAGGUAGUAGCAGGAUCGCCGCUUCCCCGAUAGACCUUUGUUAGCUGUGCUUAGACUCUAAAACUGCAUCAAACCAGCCGUAGGCGUUCUGCUGGAGGAGACCUGACCUCCAACUAACCGCCCUGUCAAUCGCCCUGAACCUGGGCCACUCUCAGGACGCACUUCAAGCAGCGUUGCUACGGCGUCUACCCGCACAGGGGCCACGCGGGCUCCCUGGGCGCGCGGCGAGCGGCGCACCGGUGACGCCAUCACCCGCGCGCCGCAGCCCAUACGCAGACGCAGUCCGGAUCGCUUGGCGGCGAGCGGCACGCGCGCAGCCUGGGGAUGCUGAAGCGAGUGCGAUGGCUCUCGCCAUGCAGUCUUCCGAGUUCCAGUUCGCCCAGCGGCUGGCCUCCAGUGAGAAGGGCGUCCGCGACCGCGCCGUGAGGAAGCUGCGGCAGUAUCUCAGCGCCAGGACGCAGAGCGACACAGGAAGUUUCAGUCAAGAAGAACUCUUAAAAAUAUGGAAAGGACUCUUCUACUGCAUGUGGGUGCAGGACGAGCCCCUUCUGCAGGAGGAGCUAGCGAACAUUAUUUCCCAACUCAUCCACGUUGUAAACAGCUUGGAGGCUCAGUACCUGUUUAUUCAGACCUUCUGGCAGACCAUGAAUCGAGAGUGGCAAGGGAUAGACAAGCUGCAGCUGGACAAGUACUACAUGCUGAUCCGCCUGGUCCUGAGGCAGUCCUUUGAAGUUCUCAAGCGGAAUGCCUGGGAAGAAAGCCAAAUCACACUGUUUUUGGACAUCCUGAUGAAGGAGAUCCUGAGUCCUGAGAGUCAGUCUCCCAAUGGCGUGAGAACCCACUUGAUUGAUGUGUACUUGGAGGAGCUUACCACAGUGGGAGGGGCGGAGCUCUUAGCGGACCAGAACCUCAAGUUAAUCGAUCCAUUCUGCAGAAUUGCUGCCAAGACUAAGGACCACACGCUGGUACAGACUGUAGCGAGGGGUGUUUUUGAAGUCAUUGUAGAUCAGUCUGCCUGUGUACCUCAAGAGUCUGUGGAGGAGCGGAAAACCAAAGAGGAUGGCAGUGGCUUCCCUACGAAGGCGUUGGCCUGUAGGAAGGCAGUCAGUGGGAAGAAGGCUGCACUAGACGAAUGCCUCAGAGACGGAGUCAUUGGCAGCAGAGAAAGAGACAUCUGUGCAGCCUUGAAAGAUUCAGGGUCACCUCUCCAGUUUGACUAUAAGGCUGUUGCUGAUCGACUCCUGGAAAUAGCCAACUCAAAAAGCACCCCGCCUUUCAACAGGAAGCGACUCUGCAGACUAGUCAGAAAGUUCCAGGACCUCUGUGAAGGCAAUGGUGCUCCACUCAGUUCUGCUGAGGACAACGGUCAGAGAAGGCACAAGAGGAAAAGAAAGAAGCUUUUAGAGAGUGAGAAAGGUGAGCUGCACAGUCUCGGAGCUGAAGGAGGUCGCCUUGCUCACACGGGACUGACAGAGAGGAGGAGACACGGUCUCUCCUGCUGCUGAAGAGGACAGCGGAGGCCACAUUCACAAGAAGAAAAGGAAAAAGAGGAAGAGGAGUCACUUCCAGCCUGACACUCAGAACCUGGACGCUGUUGCCGUGCCCAAAGUACCGGAUUCGGAGAGUGAGCCUGACACUGCCCAGAGGCAGGCCCCGUGUGGGCAAGCGUGUGUGACUGAGCCUACAGCAGAGGCUGUGUCCAGCAUCGGGGAGAACAGCUCCAAGCCUACACCCGUCAUGCCCAUACACAAUAAAAGAAAACGGCCGAGAAAGAAGAAACUGAGGGCCCACAAAGAGAUCUGCAAAUCCACCACUUUACCUCAGGAGGACAUGUCAAAGAAUGACGCUGUCAGUGGGCAUUCUCAGAGCUCUGCUGCCCACAUUUCUUCCUCAGAAGGUGUCCAAGCCCAGAAAAGGAAACGGAAACUGGGAGCUCUCCCUGACAGCAGUAGUGACCUACCUGUACAGAAGUCAGGGACCCCAACAAGCCCAGUGGAGGGGAAGGAUGGCCAGACCACCCUGCCCCGGUGUAAGAGGUCACAAAAGAAGACAGCAUCCAGCACCCUUGACCCCUGUGAUCCGUCCAGUCAAAAACCAGCAAUCUCAAAAAAGAAGAAGAAAACUAUGAAGCUGAUGUCAAACGGUGUGUUGGAGUCCAACCCUGGGCAGAUCCAAGCUCUGGGAAGCAACAGGACUCUGAAGAAGCCGCUGAAAACGGAGGACGACUUUGUGAAGUUUGACACUCGGUUCUUACCAAAGCCCCUGUUCUUCAGGAAAGCCAAGAACAGCUCUGCCACCCGUCCCCAAGGUCCUGCUGGCCAGCUGAAUAAAACACCCUCCAGUUCCAAGAAAGUCACCUUUGGAUUGAACAGAAACAUGACUGCAGAAUUUAAGAAGACAGACAAGAGUAUCCUGGUCAGCCCCACAGGCCUCUCCAGAGUGGCCUUUAACCCUGAGCAGAGGCCACUCCACGGAGUGCUGAAGACCGCCACGAGCUCCCCGGCCAGCACUCCUCUGUCGCCCAUGAGGCUACCAGCCACCACCCCAAAGAGAAGGCCAAGGGCUGCGGACUUCUUCUGAGAGCCAGAAGCCCUUUCUGAAGCCUGCUUUUAUACCGGAUGUUCUAUAAAUUAUAACUUUUAAAGUUGGGCUUUUUAAUUACUUUACAAAUACCCAUGAGUGGGACAGAUGUUCUGAACCUGGACCACAGGCCUUCCUGCUAGGCUUGCAGCCCACGGUGCACAUCUGCGCACACCCUCACUGAGGACUGAGUGCUGUUGGUACACGGAGCCCCCUCCUCCAUACCCAUUGCUGCACCACCACUGUGGAUUGCACGCCUUUCUGGGUGGCUGCAGUCUCUGUCCCUUGUGAAAGCAUGGCAGCUUCAGGCCCAUCUGCGGGCAUGUGGCUGUUUUUCCUGGGAUUGACUCCUGAAAUGGAAUGAGCAAUAGUGUAGCUUUUCUACGGGUGACCAGCAGGAGGCUAGACAGGUGGGGGGGUAGGGGAAAGCCACUUUUCCCGGAGGCUUCUCCUCCUCUGCCUGGCCUGUUCCUGUCCCUGUCUUCCUACCUCUAUAGCAAGCCCAAAGUGUCUUUUCAGGAGGGCCAGUAGCCCCCAGGCUGCUGCCCACAUUAGCACAGUUUUCCCAGGGCCUCCCUGACUGCACCAGUAGGGUCUGGACCCCAGCUCUUGCCUGACCUGGAAGUUGGCUGCCCAGGAGUAGAAGCCUGUUAGCUGCCUCCAUGGGUUUUAUACAGCUCUUCUUGCUUAGUGCGGAACCCAGGGAGCUGCUCAGACUUCCACCAAAGCAAAUCUGGCUCCUUCUUUAGAGAGAAGCCUACGUGGCGACUGCUCUUAUUUAAGGAAACCACCUUGGGUCUGAGAGGUGGAGAGGCCGUGGGAUUAAGCACAAUAGGAGGCGCAGCUCCUGCUUCUACCGUUAGGCGCUGCAGGCUUGAAGUGGCAAGGCCCUGCAUCUCAAGCACUCAGAGCUCUGUGAGCUUGCCUACUGUGCGCAGGAUCUCCCCAAGUAUGUCCUACUCUGUGCACCCUGUGCUGGAGCCCUACUUUUCACCCCGCUGCCCCUCGGGAGGACUGCAGCUCGCUCCUGUUGGGAUCGCAAAGCUCGGGUACCUGCCCCGGCUUUGCUCCACACAGUCACGGGGUCCAUUUCCAAGUCGUCUUUUUUGUUUGUUUGUUUGUUUGUUUGUUUGUUUGUUUGUUUUUUCCAGACAGGAUUUCUCUGUGUAGCCCUGGCCGUCCUGGAACUCACUUUGUAGAUCAGGCUGGCCUCGAACUCAGAAAUCGGCCUGCCUCUGCCUCCCGAGUGCUGGGAUUAAAGGCGUGCGCCACCACGUCUGGCUCCAUUUCUAAGUCUUGAACCAACUGACUCCCGAAUGCCAUUCCCGGAAGGAACCAAGUGGUGACUUUGUCCUCUGCCUGCUCAGUCACAAAGUAUAUCACUAGGCCAUAAAAAUGGAGAUGAUGUUUUGCUUGUGUCACAGUAGGUCUUGUGCAGUGUCACUUGUAGUUGCAUGGUUACAGCGUGCUGAGUUUGACCAUUACAUUCAAAACUAAAACCUGUGUAGGAAGGUUAAGGUCGUGGCAGCAGAUGCCUAGCUUCUUAUUUAAAAAGUUGAGUGCACCCAGCCAUUUUCUGUUUUAAAGAUAGGUUAAUAUAGCCAAGAGGGUCAUACAGCCCAGUGGUGUAGAGCAAGACACCAGGUAGCAGUAAUAGAAAACAACCUCACACCAUUUUCACAAUGGCCGCCCAUCCUCGGGGACUGUGAGUGUCCUUGUCUUAGUCAAAGCACAUCUCCUACCAAAAUUGCUCCCAAGAUGGAGGGUGAGACCUCAGUGCUAGGUUGACAGGUGGGCGUCGCCAUGCCUGGACCAAUUCCUGCACAGCACAGGAAGGCUCCACUCCAUGAAGGAGUGCAUUUAGAAUGGCAUCCUGGUCCUGGAUGCAGAUUCUCAAGUAAAAUUGCUGUUAAAUUUCUUCAAGUCCAGAGAAGCAAAUCUUAGUGCGGGCAGACCGAGUUAGUGUUUGAUGCGACUAUCUCCAUCCUUAGUAUGGAUGUGGUCAGUUCUGCACAAUUUGGUUUCAAACUAACUUUUUUUUCUUUCCUUUUUAAAAAUAAUAAUAAUGUCUCAGUAUGUAUCCUAUCCCACACUGGCCCCACACCGGUGGUCUCCCUGCCUCAGCCAGGCUACUGCUGGGACACGCACAGGAAGGAGCAUGAGGGGGGGUUGGGAAGCAGUCGCCUGCCUGGGAAGUGGGUCUGUGUUUUCUCUAACUGCCACAGUGCUAUUUGUUUACCAUCAAAUUGUAUUGGUGUUUCCAGGGCUUGUUGGUACAAAUCAAAGCCAAGACCAAUUAAAAGAAAUGUAUUUUUAUCUUCGGA